rnacentral:rRNA from 1 species
GAUGAACGCUGGCGGCGUGCCUAAUACAUGCAAGUCGAGCGAACAGAUAAGGAGCUUUCUCCUUUGACGUUAGCGGCGGACGGGUGAGUAACACGUGGGUAACCUACCUAUAAGACUGGGAUAACUCCGGGAAACCGGGGCUAAUGCCGGAUAACUUUUAGAACCGCAUGGUUCUAAAGUGAAAGAUGGUUUUACUAUCACUUAUAGAUGGACCCGCGCCGUAUUAGCUAGUUGGUAAGGUAACGGCUUACCAAGGCAACGAUACGUAGCCGACCCGAGCGGGUGAUUGGCCACACGGGAAGUGAGACACGGCACACACUCCGACGGGAGGCAGCAGUAGAGACUCUUCCGCGAUGGGCGAGAGCCGGACGGAGGAACGCCGCGUGAGGGAUGAAGGUCUUAGGAUCGUAGAACGAUGAUAUUAGGGGAGAACAAAUGUGUAAGUAACUGUGAACGUCUUGACGGUACCGGAUCAGAAAGCCACGGCUAACUACGUG